GUCUGCUGGCUGUAUGAUGAAAUGAAUGUUGGUAGGGACAUCUGAGUCGAUGUGAAGAAACGCCAACUAUUCUGACUCCAUGU
ensembl:snoRNA